UACGUAGGGUGCGAGCGUUUGUCCGGAAUUAUUGGGGUGUAAAAGGGCUCGUAGGCGGGUUUGUCGCGUCGGGAGUGAAAACUCAGGGCUUAACCCUGAGCCUGCUUCCGAUACGGCAGACUAGAGGUAGGCAGGGGAGAGCGGAACUCCUGGUGGUAGCGGUGGAAUGCGCAGAUAUCAGGAAGAACACCGGUGGCGAAGGCGGCUCUCUGGGCCUUAACCUGACGCUGAGGAGCGAAAGCAUGGGGAGCGAACAGG
rnacentral:rRNA from 1 species